UAGGGAAUAUUGGACAAUGGGCGAAAGCCUGAUCCAGCCAUGCCGCGUGGAGGAUGAAUGCCCUCUGGGUUGUAAACUCCUUUUAUCUGGGAAGAAACUCUUGGAUUUAUCCAAGCCUGACGGUACCAGAGGAAUAAGCACCGGCUAACUCCGUGCCAGCAGCCGCGGUAAUACGGAGGGUGCAAGCGUUAUCCGGAUUUACUGGGUUUAAAGGGUGCGUAGGCGGGUUGGUAAGUCAGUGGUGAAAGCCCCGAGCUUAACUUGGGAACUGCCAUUGAUACUGCCAGUCUUGAAUACGGUUGAGGUAGGCGGAAUAUAACAUGUAGCGGUGAAAUGCUUAGAUAUGUUAUAGAACACCGAUUGCGAAGGCAGCUUACUAAGCCGUUAUUGACGCUGAGGC
rnacentral:rRNA from 1 species